UUUAUAUAAAUUAUGGAAACACUUUGACAAAAAGACUUUUUAAAGAAUGUGUGCAGUGCAGUGUCAGGACUGUGUGUUGAAAAUGACAAAAUCUUUUGUUGUGAUAACCCUGAGAUUAAUAUGCUGUACUACAGAUAUGUCAGUGUUGCACCAAGCGUUACACAUUUGUUGAACUCUUACUGUUCUUGCUGUAUUCAAGAUUUAUGCAAUUUUUCUACAACUGUUUCUUGGAUGAUACUAACAAUCGUAUUUUUAAUCAUGGAAUUUUCUCUAUUAUUUUCAGACUGUAUGGCUAUGUCUGGCUUCCAUAUCUUUUAUGCACACGGAGAAGGAGGGCAAACAUUUUUCCCUUUAGUUGUUCGAGUUUUGGAAUGUAUUCACCUGAAGUUGGAAGAAAGUUCGUCAAAUCUUGUGGUGUAGGGAAUUUGACCAGAUCAUUACACAUGCCAGAGACAAGACUUUAUGCUUGUGAUGAUGGAAGUACACCAGACAUGCUCUCAUGUAUAGCCUCAAGUGAGAGAUCUUUCAGCCAGAAAUUCACUUGUGAUCAGUGUGGUAGGAAAUAUUACUGGAAAGGUUCAUUAACUAAACACAAACAGCGGGAAUGUGGGAAGGAGCCACAAUAUGCAUGUUCCCUUUGUUCAUAUAAAUCAAAGCAAAAAGGUAGUCUACAGAGACAUGUGCUUAGAGUUCAUGAAGGAUCUAUAUUUUUGCCUAUAUCAUCAGCAAGCAAUUUAUGGUGUGACUCAGAAGCAGCAUGAUGUUUUCUCAACUUCAGUUAAUUACUAUACUGAAAACAGUCCUUCCUAUCUGUGUGUUUAGGUGGGGGAGGGAGUGAUGAUCUGCUGGCUCCGACUCUAUUCUGCAUGACUUUUUGCUUUGAUAGCAUGUUAUUUAUUUUGAGUGUGCAUAACAAAAGACUUUCUUCCUUUACAGUAGAGAACAAAUUCUAGAAAGACAAAUAUUUAGAGAGGGGUGAUAGGUAUUGGUAUUACACAUGAUUUACAACUCAAAAAAGAACACUAUGGAGUGUUGCAUUGGAAGCAGUAGACUGAGUAACAAAGAGGACCUUGCAAUGACAGAAAAGAUUAAAAAUAUAUCCAGGGGAGAAUUUGAAAAUCUACAGAGAAAAUACAAAGCAACUUAAUCAGUGAGUAAGUUGAUUUGAACAACCAUUAAAAAACAGCCUUGUAACUCAUGUUAUGCAGUGCUGGUCAAAUGCCAGGAAAACAUAUAGACUGGAGUACCUCAGUGGUGGCGCUGUGGUGCAUGACUUUUCCGGGCAGUUGCUGGCGGGCUGUCCUCGUUGUGGCCGCCAGUAUCCUAGCAAACGGUCACUCGUCAGGCAUGUUCGUUAUGUGUGUGGAAAGGAACC